rnacentral:lncRNA from 1 species
ACUUCCGGCCGCCUCCGGAUGCGGGGUCAGGGGCGUCGGAAAGGUCACCGCGGCAGCCCGGCGCGCCCCAGCGGGGCUGUUCUGAGGGUGCUGCGAGGUUGCUCUACGUGCGGGAUUCCGCGGGCGGGCAGCCUGCUCUGGAGAGGAAAGGAAGGCGCAUCCGGCUCGGAGCCCAGCUCUGCUGCGCAUCGCUCGCUCCCUGCGCAACUUGCAGCCCCGGGAGGCGGGGCGCGUCCUGGCUCCCGCGGGGUCACAUGGAGCAGCGGGCGCUGUAAUCCAGGGAGGCUUUGGGGACACGUUAGGGAAGUCAGCUACCCGUGUGUGUCCGCUGGCCCACUGGGACACUGGGAGCUCAAUGAGGUGGUUAUGAGCCAGGUAUUUUCCAAAAUACGCACCAGGCACCAGACCGAGGAAGCCGGAGCCCCGGAGAGCACGCAGGGGCGGGUGGGAGAGGAAGGCGGGCGAGGCUGCUCAGCGGGUGCCGGGAGACCGCAGCCGCGGGGUACUCGCAGAAGAGCCAAGACCUGCCACCCAGCCCGGGAAGGGAGGGAAGGGCCGCGAGAGGGUGCCCCAUUUCAGCCUGGGGAGACGCGUGUGCUGGCCGCCAGUCUCUCUUCCCGGCAGAGGGCCCCAGUGCUGACCCCAGCCCCUUUUCCACGCUCGAUGCUUCUUACAAAGUGGCCGGGCGAGGAGUGUCGCUCCCCGAGAGGCCAGGCCCUUCCUAAACACUAAAGUGCCAGGAAGAUGAAACUGAAUGUCCUGGAUGCCCGCUUUGCUUAAUUACUAAUUACGUUCGUUCACUCGAAGCCACUGCAUAAGUUGGCCACAGCCACCUGCAGGGCCUCUUUAGUGCAGAGAAAAACAUGCCUAAGGCUUUUCUCCAUUUGAAUUUGUUUUAAGUCAUCUGCAUGGGCUGACGUGAAAUAGCAAGUGAACAAAACAAGUUGCAGAACGGAGUGUGUAAAGUAAUGCCUUCUUUUGGAGAAAAGGUUUCUUUCUCUACGGCUCCACUAAUGUCUGCAAGUAAAAAUACUGAUCAGCUCUAUGGAGUGGGAAUGAAGAUGGGGAACUUACGCUUUUUAUUUCAUUCACGUCUACAUUGUUUAAUCACUUUAACACUUUAAAAAAUAAAUAUGUUCACUUAGUAUCUUUAAGCAAGUCUCAUGGGCUUUAGUUUCCUCCUCUCUAAAGGGUUGAGGCUGAGCUAUAAUAAGGUUAAUUACAGCUAUAAAAGUAAACAAUUUGUCUACAUACUGGGGAUUCUAAAAUAGGGGGAGGAAGGAAGGGGAGUAAUGGUUGAAAAACUGUGUAUUGGGUACUGUGUUCCCUAUUCAGGUGAGGGGAUCAAUAGAAACUCAAACCUCAGCGUCAGGCAAAUUUAACAAACCUGCACAUGUGCUCUUGAAUCUAAAAUUAGAAAGAAAAAGGGUUUGUCUGUAUCAGUCUCUGCUAACCUCUGUGGAUAAAACCAGGCGGGUAACAUACAACCCCUCCCCUCCAGAAGGAGAGAAGGGAGAUUGCUCUGGGCAGCAGUGAGUCUCGGCCUGGGCAGAAAUGGUCAGAAAUGCUGCAGAGCCAGGAGGGGUAAAAUGAGCUCAGGGGGCAGUGAGGUGCCCCUGCCUGGAGCACAGGGUCCCACGCAGUGACAGGUGCAGGAUGAGGUGGGUGGGUAUGGAGCCAGCUUAAAGAGACCUGCACUGCCAGGCUUAGACGCUUUAUCUUUAUUUUGAAGGCAAUCUGUGGGUAAAGAACAAAAUAAAAGCCUUGUCCCUUUGUUCCCUUAGCCAUCUUUCUUAUGCUUUCUUUGUUACCAGAUAGGGCCUUUCUCAUACUACCCUGGAAUACUGAAAUUUCAGACUAAACCAGUCAGGUGGCUGGGAGUGCAAGAAAUCCUUGGCAAGACCCUUCUCCCCGGAAAGCCUCCUGACAGCAGAGUACACAGUGUCACACCUUAGAAUGUCCACCAUGAAAUGUAAUGGUGCUCAGUGUAGCAGAUGAUUGCAAGGCCAGUGUGAAGGCAAUCUACCCACAACAUUUAUAACUCUGCGGGUUGUCAGCUUCAUGAGCUAUGCAGCUGAGUAGGAAGGCAUCUCCUGACUUUCACUCCUCAAGAUCCAUUCUCUAUGAUGCCCUUCCCACUUGAAAGAGCUUUCUUUAGCCAAGGUCUUUCUUUGAUACUCUGUCCCCCUAAAAAUCAGUGCUUUUGAAAGUCAUGGCCAGAAUAGUAUAAACAACAGAAGGGUUUUAUAAAUGUUAAUACUUUGAUUUCGCAAAUUUUCUGUCACUUGGAAUGAUUCUUAAUACAAAACAAUGUACAUUAUAAAAAUAAAUUCAUAGCUCAGUAUAGAACUACAUUAUCUGCAAACUCUACUUACACACAUCAAAUCAUAAAGGGUAGCAGGAAGUUGUUAUGAAAUUUUGAAUCACAAGUACAAGGAUCAAAUAAAGUAUACAACACU